rnacentral:tRNA from 1 species
UAUAUUUUAGUAUUAGAUGUACAAAAGCUUUUGAUGCUUUAGGGGGCAGUUUAAAUCUGUUAAAUAUAA